rnacentral:rRNA from 1 species
UCUGUUUGAAUAUAAAGGGGAACCUUCCUCUAAGGCUAAAUAUGAUAUAUAAGCGAUAGUGAGUAGUACCGUGAGGGAAAGGAUGAAAUAGUAGUUUUAUAAGCAGCUCAAUUUAAAAUUUAAAUAAAAAAAAAGAGCGUACCUUUUGCAUAAUGGGUCAGCAAGUUAAUAUUAGAUGCGAGCGUAUACGCAAAGAUAAAACAAUUAUGGAGGAGUGAUAAGUAUCUAAAAUUAGACCCGAAGCCUAGUGAUCUUACCAUGAUCAGGGUUAUAAAAGCUCGAACGGGUUAUCGUUGUAAAGAUAUCCGAAGAAUUGUGGUAAGUUGGUGAAAGACAAUACUGACUAGGAUAGCUGGUUUUCCGCGAAACCUAUGUGAGUAGGUAAUUUUAAUUACAUCUUGGGAGGUACAUGAUUGUGAUCUCAUACAACUAACGUUUUUAAACGUUAUUUUUUGUAUACAUUGGGGGGUCGUGAAGAUUCUAUCAGUGAGAUUUUGUUCUCGGAAGGACUAAUGAUGAAUAUUAAAUAAUCAGACAUAGUACGCUAAGGUUGUAUGUCUAAAGGGAAACAGCCCAAAACAAGAGUUAAUAAGGUUCCUAAAUUAUUUUUAAGUGAAAUUAAGGAAGUUUCUUUCUAAUACGGCCAGGAAAUAGGCUUAGAAGCGGCCAUUUUUUAAAGACCUCGUAAAAGAGCACUGGUUUAAUCUGAAAUAAACACCGAUGAUUUAACGGAUCUAAAAAAAUAUACCGAGACCUUGUCCAUAUUUGUAUAUAUAUGGUAUCAUAUUUUGUAUUUAUGGGGUAGCGGAACGUUGGGCAAAUCUCAGAUUAGUUCUUUUUAAGAACUAAAAUUAGAUAUCCCAAGUGAUAAUGCUGACAUGAGUAACGAUAAAGUAAAAGUUUACUUUUACUCGCCUGAAGCUUAUGGAAUUCACUUAAAGUAACGGCCUCUAAGUUUAUGUUAAAAUUGGUUAUUAGCUAAACCAAGUGAAUUAAACGAUGAGUAAAUCUAGUGAGUUUAUGUCAUAAAUAACAUUUAUGCAUUAUAUUGUGCAUAUAGUGAUAAAUGUUCUGGAAAAUGAAGAUGAAUAAUCUAAAUAAAAAAAAACACUUGCAAGUAGUAGAGAGAAAGCGAGCAGUCUUUUUAUUUAAACUCUAAAUGAAAAAAAAACGCUUAUUAGUAGUAGAGAGAAAGUAAGUAGUCUUUUUAUUUAUAUUCAACCGUACCUAAGAUCUACCACAAGUAAGCAAGUAGAGAAUACGAAGGCGUUCGAGUGAACAAUCAUUAAGGAACUCGGCAAAUUAACUCACGUAACUUUGGGAUAAGGUGGGCCAUUUCACUUGAUUAAUACAAGAUUGGAAGAGGAGGCACAGAAUGGUGUUGUACGACUGUUUAAUUAAAACAAAGCACACUGCAAACACAUAGUUGGAAGUAUAGGGUGUGAUUUCUGCCCUAUGGCGGCAGGGUAUCGAAUUUACUUAGGUGAAAUGAGAUGAAUUCACAGAUUCAUAAGAGCUUUAGUUAGAUUAAGGUUUUUAAUUUUAAAUAAGGUUUCUUUUCUGAUCGUAAUAGAUUGGAUAUAAUUAAGGUUAGGUUUUGAAGUCAAACCCCGUUCAAUGGCGGCUUUAACCUUGAGGGUCCUAAGGUAGCGGAAUACCUUGGCCGUUAAAUGCGGUCUUUGCAUGAAUGAUGUAACGAUACAACAGCUGUCUCAAUGAUUGGCUCGGUGAAAUUGGAAUAGCUGUGCAGAUACAGUUUACCUCUAGUUAGACGAGAAGACCCUAUGCAGCUUUACUGUUGCUAGUUAUUAAGUGUGAUAUUCAAUUUACAAGAGUAGAAGGUAAUCUAUAAGAUAGAAGUGUAACACCUUUAUUUUGGGAUCACAUUACAAUUCUUUACCGUUAUAUAAUUAAUGGUGCAGUUGCUGGGUGGCAGUUUAUGCGGGGCACAGAUCCCAUAUAUAGUAGCAACAGGCUAAUAGCGCAAGAGAGCUCAAAUUGGGUGCGCUGUUUGGCACCUCGAUGUCGGCUUAGCUCAUCCACAUGAAUGUAAGGGUUAUGUAAGGUGCGACUGUUCGUCGAUUAAAGAGCUACACGAGCUGGGUUAAAUACGUUGUGAGACAGUAUGGUUUCUAUCUUCUAGAGGAAAUUAGAAUAAAAUAAGGAGAGCUUCCUCGUACGAAAGGAGCUGAAGAUGUUAACCUAUGGUUUACCUGUUGUU